CAUUAAGUGACUGAAAGAAAGUAAUGGUCUCUUAAACCAAAUUAUAGUAUAAAUCAAAUACUCUUAAUGA
rnacentral:tRNA from 1 species